UGCAAUGGACGGGAAUUACAAUAGAGGGAGGCCACGUCACAUUCCAUGGCCUCAGGACAGUUGCGUUGAAUGUGACUGACAAUGUAUAAGAAUCAGUGGAGGAAUACUUGACCAAUGAUGGAUUGAACAAAGAACUAAGGGAAGUACGUUGAAUCUACUUAUUGCUUCAAGUUAAAUAAUAUUUGUUUUCAUAACUACAUGACUGGGGAUUAUGACUGGAUUUAUAAAAAUGCCUGAGAAUCUGUAAAUAAGUACUCGAUAAUGAGAUAGAGAACUAAGAAACAUACUUUUAACCUGCUUAUUGCUUCAAGCUAACAAUCUUUGUUUAUUAAUUCACGUGACUGUGGGGCUCAUGGGGAAAGGGAAUAUCACUCUCACAAAGAGUAAUGUGAACCUGGUUCAAGAUAAAACAGGAGUGUGGUUAUUGAAGUUUUUGUGAUCACAACUGGAGCGAAGCUUGACCUCUCCUGCACUACUAUCAUGACCCAAAGAGAUCCUUGAGCUACUGGGAGACUACAGAGGCGGCUCCAGCUACCUGAGACCGAGGUCCCCAACGUGAAGGCGAUACUCCUGAUUACCCAUCCUGCUCUAACAAAAGGGGCGAAAUUUGCCAUUACACUUUCACAAGCCAGCCACUGAUGUCCAUGUAGGAGACUGCCUCAUCCACCCUUCAAUGGGAGAGUAUGAUGGGUUGUGGAGAACAGGAAGUGGGUCUGCAGGUCUCAACAGAGAGGGAGGAGAAAAACCAGCACCUCUGUUACAUCAAUAGCCUUAGAAGAGAAGAACAAAGGGAGAAUGAGGCAACAGGUCAACAGCAGGACAAUGAUGUCAGGCCAGCACAGAGUUCUGCCCAUCAGACCAAGUACAACAAGAAGAUGUAGACAGCUCCUCGAGCUGGCACAGACACCACCUCAUUGAGGAGAACUCUGAUGCCCUUCAGCCAUUCCUUC